AGAAUCAACGCUGGCGGCGUGCCUAACACAUGCAAGUCGAACGAGAAAGUGGAGCAAUCCAUGAGUAAAGUGGCGACCGGGUGAGUAACACGUGACUAACCUACCUUCGAGUGGGGGAUAACAUCGGGAAACCGAUGCUAAUACCGCAUAACAUCGCAAGAUCAAAGCAGCAAUGCGCUGGAAGAGGGGGUCGCGGCUGAUUAGCUAGUUGGCGGGGUAACGGCCCACCAAGGCGAAGAUCGGCAGCCGGCCUGAGAGGGCGCACGGCCACACUGGAACUGAAACACGGUCCAGACUCCUACGGGAGGCAGCAGUGGGGAAUUUUGCGCAAUGGGGGAAACCCUGACGCAGCAACGCCGCGUGGAGGAUGAAGCCCCUUGGGGUGUAAACUCCUUUCGACCAAGACGAUAAUGACGGUACUGGUGGAAGAAGCACCGGCUAACUCUGCGCCAGCAGCCGC
rnacentral:rRNA from 1 species